rnacentral:rRNA from 1 species
GUAUCGAGUUAACUCCCAACCCAUGUGAACAUACCUACUGUUGCUUCGGCGGGAUUGCCCCGGGCGCCUCGUGUGCCCCGGAUCAGGCGCCCGCCUAGGAAACUUAACUCUUGUUUUAUUUUGGAAUCUUCUGAGUAGUUUUUACAAAUAAAUAAAAACUUUCAACAACGGAUCUCUUGGUUCUGGCAUCGAUGAAGAACGCAGCGAAAUGCGAUAAGUAAUGUGAAUUGCAGAAUUCAGUGAAUCAUCGAAUCUUUGAACGCACAUUGCGCCCGCCAGUAUUCUGGCGGGCAUGCCUGUCUGAGCGUCAUUUCAACCCUCAUGCCCCUAGGGCGUGGUGUUGGGGAUCGGCCAAAGCCCGCGAGGGACGGCCGGCCCCUAAAUCUAGUGGCGGACCCGUCGUGGCCUCCUCUGCGAAGUAGUGAUAUUCCGCAUCGGAGAGCGACGAGCCCCUGCCGUUAAACCCCCAACUUUCCAAGGUUGACCUCAGAUCAGGUAGGAAUACCCGCUGAACUUAAGCAUAAAAAAAA